CAGGUGGUAGUUUAAUAGAAUGUUGGUUCUGGGAGCCAAAGGUCUUAAAAGUUAAGUUGCCUGA
rnacentral:tRNA from 1 species